rnacentral:tRNA from 1 species
GGAGGGUUGGCCGAAUUGGUAAGGCACCGGUCUUGAAAACCGGCGGGCUCAUCCGGCCCAUGUGGGUUCGAGUCCCACACCCUCCGCCA